rnacentral:misc_RNA from 1 species
AAGUCGUAACAAGGUAUCCUUCCCCACCCCCAACGGAAACCUUGAAAAUUGUCACUUCGGUGGCCAAUAGGUCGCCAAACUCUGGCGGCGACACUGGCAGUCUGCACGGGAACAUCCUCUCGAGGAAAACCCGCAGUCGGAGAUAAUAAUCUCUGAUGCACAGGCUAAAUGCCGGUGGGUUCUGGAAUACCCAGGGUUUAUGAUAUAGUCGGUCCUUGGAGAAAUCCAAGCGAGCAAACGUUCCGUAGGUGAACCUGCGGAAGGAUCAUUAAAGUGAAAACUUUGUCCCUUAUGGACGUGGUAGCCCAAAACCUCCGGGGGCAACCCUGGAGGCUGGCCGCCUAACCCUUUGUUUACAUUACCUUUGUUUCUUUGGCGGGCCGUGGCCUCGCGCCCCGCCGGCUUCCCUCACGGGGCUGGUGCGUGCCCGUCAGAGGCCCAUUCAAAUCUGUUUUCAAAGAUGCAGUCUAAGUCUUAUAUUUUUAAUAGCCUAAAA